GCAGACGACACACACUGGCUGCUGAUGGUCCAGACAAAUCAGCAGCGUGUUUGUUUCUCUCUCUACCAGCUCUGCAGACAAUCUUUACAGAAGCUGUGGCUACAUGGCAGAAGACAGGAUCUCUAAAGAUGUCACAACAGACCAGACAGCACAGAUCUUCCUCUAAUCUGGAAGCCAUUUUUUUCUGAGGGAAUCUGAAGUGCAGUCAGUCCUGGCUCCCCUCCCUCCUCUACUUACUUCACUGAACUCUGAUUUCUAUUUUUAGUCAAACUCACAUUCAGUGUAUGAGUCAACAGGUUGAAGCAGCAGUGUUUUAGUUUUCCACUUUUCUCUCCUGUAGCUGAACUAACUCAGAAGAAUUUGACAGUUUGGUCUGAAGAUGAAUCUGAUCGUCCGUUUUUUAGUCAGUCUGCUCUUUUCAUUUCUCUAUUUGAAGCCUCGUCUCCUCUGUCCACUCUACUCCUGCCUGUGACCCUGAACUCGAUCUCAGUGCGCCAUCUUGACAGACGUCUCAAUUCCUAAAAUGCCUCUGGAGUAGAGAGGAGACUUGCCGGAAGAGUGUAUCCUUUACAGAAAUCUUUGUGUGAAGUUUAAAAGAGACCGUGGGUCAGCAGCUACUUCAAGAAGUUCCCCAUGCACAUCUACUGCCUUCCUGUCCAGGCUGCCAAUCACAGACGUCGGAGGCGGGGCCUGAAGAAGAGGGAAUGAUGACAGGAUGGGAGUUCUCGUCGUAUACAUCUGAAAUAUGUUGAGAAUAUUUCUGUUUUUUACCUGAAAAUAAAUUUGGUUUCCUCCCCCGUC